GGGAUGCUCACAGUGACCCCAUUAUCCCAUCUUCCAGGGGCGCUCACUCAGACUCCUGCGGUACAGGGGCUUGCCAAAGGAGGGGUAUGGCCAGCAUUCUUCCUCCCCCAGCCCUCAGGACCAGCAGGACCGUGGGCUCUUGCCUGGGCUGUAACAGCACUGGGGCUGGAGCUGGGGGCCAGGCGCAGCCCAGGGUCGGGGGUGCUUCCCAGGUCUCGAAGAUCAUCUGGGGGCCCUUCCCCAGCCCUGGCCCCGCAGAGCCUGCCCAACUGCGUCUCUGAGCCGCACCCAAACUCUUCCCGGCUUUGCCAGGGAGACUGGAAAUUUCUGCCCAGCAGCUUCUCUGGGAGGAUUUCGACACGGCUCAUGGGGGACGGGGAGGAGAAGCCAGGCUGCUGCGAGGCUCAGCAUUCUCACGGCUCUGCUUAAGAGGACAGGGAGGGGGGCUUCGCUAGGCCUUGGUGAGUCCUUCAGAAAUAACAGUAAUAAACAACCAGCUCCAACAACAGCGACUGUGUAUUGAGCACUUACUGCCUGCCAGAUCCUGUGCUAAGUCAAGACUGGCCUAACGGAACCUUCCAGAGUGCAGGCGAGGCUGGCACUGUUACUAACCCAUCUCACAGGUGAGCAAGAGGAUCCGGUGGUGAAGGUGGCUGCCCCAGGCUACACAGCUGGAAGCUGAGGCCAAACUCUGGAACCCACUGUACCUGCUCAUUCCAGAACCCAGGCUUCUCAACUGAUGCCAAGGAACAUCCGCUGUUAGGUGAUGAGGACACUGAGAGCUGACAUGUGACCCAGGACUCAGAGCCAGGCUCAGGAAGUGAGCUGGGAAAUGCCAGCAGAGGUCCAAGAAGAAACAUGCUGCCCUCCCACUGUGGGGCUGCUUCUGCCCUCAGUGGCCAGGGACUCUGGCCUUUCCCAACCCCAGGGGUACACAGCAGCAGAAACUGGCAUGGGAAUAGGGAGAGGGGACCAUCUCCUCCAAUGCCCUCAUUUUAUACCAGGGGAAAUGGGUAUCGAAGAGAGGAAGAGACGUCUCAGUCCUCCACGUGGGCUUCUCCUGUGCACUCCCACCUCCUACUCCUCUUUAAAAGUGAUAUUUUAGAAGUUA